UUCAACAUUUCGAUCCACACUCCAUACCAGAUGGUGGCGGUAAUGCACCAAAUCGUAGUUUGUCAACCGCCAUAAAACCUCAGAAGAGAAGAUGACGACAAACUGACAACCGGCGCCAUCUUGAGGCUGUUCGGUGUCACGACACGGGAGAUAAUAACACGUCAGGUUAACGUAACAAGAACCAUGCGACACACGUGGUGCCUCUAGGGGGAGAUGAAGCACCAGCAAGCCCCUCCUCAGCGCCGACGAUGAAAAGUGGACUCCUCCUGGCUGAGUGCGGUCCGCGCCCUUCCCCCUCGAUAAAUUGAAUUGGAACCAUCCACUUCCGGUUUGCCACUCGGAUCUUCCACGCGCGCGGAGCCGGCAGGAGGAGACGCUCAGGCAGACAAGGAGCAGCGGGACAAACGUCUGGACCAGGAGCCAGGAGCCAGGACCAGGAGGAGCUGGAGGAGGACGAGGAGCAGCGGGGACAGGUGUGUGGUAGCUGCUGCUUAAAAAUGAUCCGCACAUUUCUUAGAUGUUCUGUUGACGCUCUGUUCACACCUGCUGUUAACAUCCGACCUGAGGGAUCCGAUCACAGGUGUUCAGAUUACACCUGCUAAUGCUAAUGUGACGUCACUGCUCCACAUGUAAACACACACACCUUUCAUUUCUCUUUCUUUAUUCAAAGGAACAAAGAAACCAGAAAAUGUUCAACAUUUGUAAUAAAACAAAAAACAAUUCAUUGAUUAUUAAAGUAUUUGACAAUUCAUUUAGUAAUGGUUUAAUUAUGCAGUAAUCGUUGCAUUUCUACUUGGUUUAUAUUUGAAAAAAAUAAUCAUCAGAGACACCAUGAUGCAAUUUAUCACGAUAUUUGCAAUAAACUGAGACGCUCGUGAAAGUGAGCACUUGGCACCAUCUAGUGGACUGAAAUGUUUAUUUAUUUAGUUCAUUUUUAAUAACGUUUAUUUGUAACAUCAGUUAAAAAAAAAUACGCUAAACAAAAAUAUUACUCGGUGUCUCAAAAUCGAAAUUUCACUGUAUUAGUUUUUCUACUAAUAAUUCUCUCAAACAGCGUCACAUCCUGUGUGUAACCGUAGCAACCACAACAACAUUAGCUGCACGUAAAGUCACACUAUUGUAUCGACGCAGUUUCACGUCAGACACUGGAGACGCAUCUGAGCCUCAUCGCAUUUACACUUGUGUUCAGUACAUUUUCUGGAGCAAAGCAUCACUCUUUCACCUGUGAUUUCAUCCCCUCACACGGACGUUAACAGCACUUGUCAACAGAGCCUCUGUUUAAUGUGUUCACAUCAUUUUUACAUUGUUAACAAGUGAAAACUGUGGACGA